UACAGAGGUCCCGAGCGUUGUUCGGAUUCAUUGGGCGUAAAGGGUGCGUAGGCGGCGGGGCAAGUCUGAUGUGAAAUCCUGGGGCUCAACCUCAGAACUGCAUUGGAUACUGCCUUGCUAGAGUACUGGAGAGGGAACUGGAAUUUACGGUGUAGCAGUGAAAUGCGCAGAUAUCAGGAGGAACACCAAUGGCGAAGGCAGCUCGCUGGGACGUGACUGACGCUGAGACGCGAAGCGUGGGGAGCAAACAGG
rnacentral:rRNA from 1 species